rnacentral:snRNA from 1 species
GUGCUCACUUCAGCAGCACAUGUACUGAAAUUGGAACAAUACAGAGAAAAUUAGCAUGGCCCUUGCACAAGGAUGGCACACAAAUGCAUGAAGCAUACCAUAUUUUU